CAGGCCUAACACAUGCAAGUCGAGCGCAGUCCUUCGGGACCGAGCGGCGGACGGGUUAGUAACGCGUGGGAACAUACCCUUUUCUACGGAAUAGCCUCGGGAAACUGAGAGUAAUACCGUAUAAGCCCUUCGGGGGAAAGAUUUAUCGGGAAAGGAUUGGCCCGCGUUAGAUUAGAUAGUUGGUGGGGUAAUGGCCUACCAAGUCUACGAUCUAUAGCUGGUUUUAGAGGACGAUCAGCAACACUGGGACUGAGACACGGCCC
rnacentral:rRNA from 1 species